rnacentral:rRNA from 1 species
UACGGGGGGGGCAAGCGUUGUUCGGAAUUACUGGGCGUAAAGGGCGCGUAGGCGGCCGCUCAAGUCAGAUGUGAAAGUCCUGGGCUUAACCUGGGGACUGCAUUUGAUACUGAUUGGCUUGAAUUCGGGAGAGGAUAGCGGAAAUCCCAGUGUAGAGGUGAAAUUCGUAGAUAUUGGGAAGAACACCGGUGGCGAAGGCGGCUAUCUGGACCGACAUUGACGCUGGGGCGCGAAAGCGUGGGGAGCAAACAGG